AUCCAGCUUGCUGGAUAUGAAAGUGGCGCACGGGUGCGUAACGCGUAUGCAACCUACCUUAAUCAGGGGGAUAGCCCGAAGAAAUUCGGAUKAACACCGCAUAAAAACACAGAAUAGCAUUAUUCAAUGUUCAAAUAUUUAUAGGAUUAAGAUGGGCAUGCGUGUCAUUAGCUAGUUGGCGGGGUAACGGCCCACCAAGGCGACGAUGACUAGGGGAUCUGAGAGGAUGACCCCCCACACUGGUACUGAGACACGGACCAGACUCCUACGGGAGGCAGCAGUAAGGAAUAUUGGUCAAUGGAGGCAACUCUGAACCAGCCAUGCCGCGUGCAGGAAGACGGCCCUAUGGGUUGUAAACUGCUUUUAUCUGGGAAUAAACCUUUUUACGUGUAAGAAGCUGAAUGUACCAGAAGAAU
rnacentral:rRNA from 1 species